rnacentral:piRNA from 1 species
UGCAAGUGCUGGACAGAAGGCGGCAGGA